UACAGAGGUCUCAAGCGUUGUUCGGAUUCAUUGGGCGUAAAGGGUGCGUAGGCGGCGCGGUAAGUCGGGUGUGAAAUCUCGGGGCUUAACUCCGAAACUGCAUUCGAUACUGGCGUGCUUGAGGACUGGAGAGGAGACUGGAAUUCAUGGUGUAGCAGUGAAAUGCGUAGAGAUCAUGAGGAAGACCAGUGGCGAAGGCGGGUCUCUGGACAGUUCCUGACGCUGAGGCACGAAGGCCAGGGGAGCAAACGGG
rnacentral:rRNA from 1 species